GGCUGUCGUCAGCUCGUGUCGUGAGAUGUUGGGUUAAGUCCCGCAACGAGCGCAACCCACGUCUUUAGUUGCCAGCAUUAAGUUGGGCACUCUAGAGAGACCGUCGGUGAUAAACCGGAGGAAGGUGUGGAUGACGUCAAGUCAUCAUGCCCCUUACAUCCUGGGCUACACACGUACUACAAUGCUACGGACAAAGGGCAGCAAACUCGCGAGAGCUAGCAAAUCCCAUAAACCGUGGCUCAGUUCAGAUCGUAGGCUGCAACUCGCCUACGUGAAGGAGGAAUCGCUAGUAAUCGCAGGUCAGCAUACUGCGGUGAAUACGUUCCCGGGCCUUGUACACACCGCCCGUCACACCAUGGAAGUUGGCCACGCCCGAAGUCGUUACUCCAACCCUUGUGGAGGAGGAUGCCGAAGGUGGGGCUGAUGACUGGGGUGAAGUCGUAACAAGGUAGCCGUACCGGAAGGUGCGGCUGGAUCACCUCCUAA
rnacentral:rRNA from 1 species